rnacentral:rRNA from 1 species
AUUGAACGCUGGCGGCAGGCUUAACACAUGCAAGUCGAGCGGAGUGAUGGUGCUUGCACUAUCACUUAGCGGCGGACGGGUGAGUAAUGCUUAGGAAUCUGCCAUUAGUGGGGGACAACAUUCCGAAAGGAAUGCUAAUACCGCAUACGUCCUACGGGAGAAAGCAGGGGAUCUUCGGACCUUGCGCUAAAUGAUGAGCCUAAGUCGGAUUAGCUAGUUGGUGGGGUAAAGGCCUACCAAGGCGACGAUCUGUAGCGGGUCUGAGAGUAUGAUCCGCCACACUGGGACUGAGACACGGCCCAGACUCCUACGGGAGGCAGCAGUGGGGAAUAUUGGACAAUGGGCGGAAGCCUGAUCCAGCCAUGCCGCGUGUGUGAAGAAGGCCUUUUGGUUGUAAAGCACUUUAAGCGAGGAGGAGGCUACUAGUACUAAUACUACUGGAUAGUGGACGUUACUCGCAGAAUAAGCACCGGCUAACUCUGUGCCAGCAGCCGCCGUAACAC